rnacentral:rRNA from 1 species
UACGUAGGGUCCAAGCGUUAUCCGGAAUCACUGGGCGUAAAGCGUCCGUAGGUGGUCUGUUAAGUGAGAUGUGAAAGCGUGUGGCUCAACCAUAUCGUUGUGUUUCAUACUGGCAGACUAGAGGGAAGCAGAGGCAAGUGGAAUUGGCAGUGUAGCAGUGAAAUGCGUAGAUAUCGUUUGGAACGCCGAUGGUGAAAACAGACUGCUGGGGGUGUGCCGACGCUGAGACACGAAAGCCAGGGGAGCAAACGGG